UUCUCAAGGCUGUGAUAGUCCAUGGUUUGAUGAUCAACCUGUGAAACCUCUGAGCCCUGGAUCAAUUACCCUCCAGAGGGAUCCCAACACUCUUCUCAUCACUUGGAGAACACCAUCAUUUCUGCUUUUCAAUGUCAUCUCUCCUGCCUGAACAAAGGACAAGAAAGUCCAGUCUCAUCCCAGAACAAACAGAAUGGCACAAAACAGUUGAUGUUGCACACUAAUGCAGACCCAGGGAUGAAUCUUCAUGCUGGGAGGGGAGAAGUGGCUUUCAAACAUGAGCCAUGCAUCAAAAUCAUCUGCGAGGCUUGUUAAACGCAGAUUGCUGGAUUGCUGGGACCCAUUCCCACGUACAGCAACUGGGGUAAGACCCAAG